AACGAACGCUGGCGGCAGGCUUAACACAUGCAAGUCGAGCGCCCCGCAAGGGGAGCGGCAGACGGGUGAGUAACGCGUGGGAAUCUACCCAUCUCUACGGAAUAACGCAGGGAAACGUGUGCUAAUACCGUAUACGUCCUUCGGGAGAAAGAUUUAUCGGAGAUGGAGGAGCCCGCGUUGGAUUAGCUAGUUGGUGGGGUAAAGGCCUACCAAGGCGACGAUCCAUAGAUGGUCUGAGAGGAUGAUCAGCCACACUGGGACGGAGACACGGCCCAGUCUCCUACGGGAGGCAGCAGUGGGGAAUAUUAGACAAUGGGCGCAAGCCUGAUCCAGCCAUGCCGCGUGAGUGAUGAAGGCCCUAGGGUUGUAAGGCUCUUUCACCGGUGAAGAUAAUGACGGUAACCGGAGAAGAAGCCCCGGCUAACUUCGUGCCAGCCGCCGCAGUAACAC
rnacentral:rRNA from 1 species